GCUCACACUUGCGGACUCCACCCUUUGAGAACAUAACAUGGUGGGGGGAAGUGUGUGUGUGUGUGUACUCAAUGAGGUGCUGACAAGCAGAGAUGUGUUAGCAUGGAAAAAUGCAGGGUUUGAAAAUUGUAUAGAAAUAUUCGGAGCGAACCUCCCACUCCAAACCCAUGUGGGCAGAAUUGAAAGCAGGUGUGUGGGAUUAGCACUCUGUAUUUUUUCCAACGUCUACCACCAAAAGGGCAGCGGCACAAAAACGUUCAUGCUCAGGAGUGCUAUCAGCUAUUAGGACGUGAGAAGUUGUAAAGGAAAAGCUUUCAAGAGUAAGCGUGAAGGGAGUGUGUCCACAAUUUAACUCCUACCUUUUGAACAACAGAGGUGUCCCUUCAGACCCUGGGAGGACCCGUCCGCCUUUCAAAAUGGGUGUGUGUGAAGUACUGGGAUCAACAGGGAGCCUGCUUGUGGCCGGCUGAACCGUGCGCCCACCAAGGAUGUCCACCUCCUCACCCCUGGGACCCGCAGCACUGAAGUGCAAUGCUUUUCCUAGGAAGACACACCCUUAAGCAUGUAGGUGUAGAGGGGCAUCAUGCUGCAACUUACAAAUGGUUCAGACCAAAAACUAAUAAAGAUGUAUAUACCUGGAGAGAAAAUGAUAAAGCAAAUGUGGGAAGAUGUUGACCGUUGGAGAACUUGGGGACCAUGGAUAGUAGUGACUCCUGAACCUGCAGUCAGCAUAAUGGUCACCAGUGACCUUGCCGAAUUCUUGGAAAGAUGGCAACAGGAAGCUGCCAAGCAGGGCAUCCCACUGAAGGAGCAGGAGACCACAGAGAGAGUGUGCAUGCGGGGCCAGGAGGGUCCCAGGACCAUCUGCCCACCCCGGCUCAGUUACCGACGUCACUCCGGAGAAGUCUUCAACAUGAGGGUGACUUUUUUUUUUUCAUAAAUAACUUCAAGGGGUUGUAAGGGGCAGCAAGUGGCUAAUAGAUGGAGCCUGCUAUAAAAAUAAUGUGUAGUGAUUAUGAAAAAUCUAUAUUCCUUCAUGUGUGUGCCUCACUUAAGUCUGUUUUUGAUCCUGGUAUAGAGGCAGCGUCUGUGUUGGGAUGAGCAUAAGCUUUAGAGCCGUUUAGACA
rnacentral:lncRNA from 1 species